rnacentral:rRNA from 1 species
AUUGAACGCUGGCGGCAUGCCUUACACAUGCAAGUCGAACGGCAGCGCGGGAGCAAUCCUGGCGGCGAGUGGCGAACGGGUGAGUAAUAUAUCGGAACGUGCCCUGGAGUGGGGGAUAGCUCGGCGAAAGCCGGAUUAAUACCGCAUACGAUCUAAGGAUGAAAGUGGGGGACCGCAAGGCCUCACGCUCCUGGAGCGGCCGAUAUCUGAUUAGCUAGUUGGUGGGGUAAAAGCCUACCAAGGCGACGAUCAGUAGCUGGUCUGAGAGGACGACCAG